rnacentral:rRNA from 1 species
ACGCUCGACACCUACGGGGGGCAGCAGUGAGGGAUAUUGGUCAAUGGGGGAAACCCUGAACCAGCAACGCCGCGUGAGGGAUGACGGCCUCCGGGUUGUAAACCUCUGUCCUCUGUGAAGAUAAUGACGGUAGCAGAGGAGGAAGCUCCGGCUAACUACGUGCCAGCAGCCACGGUAAUCUGAGCGGGCUGGCAAGGC